GGGCCCAUAUCUCUAAUUCCAGGAUGCAUGAUGUGGUGGAAAUAAAAUACAACUCUACCCACAGCAUUUAACAGAACAUCCACAUAGAAGGGGCAGAGAAGUGGCAGCCACUGCAUGCAGGUCCCAGAGCUUGCUUUGUUGUGAUGCCUGCAGGGGGAUGAUUUGCUCUGUGUUAACAAUCCAACUGUCGUUCACCUGGCAGUGGACCUAUUUGGCUUUACAUAUGUAUACAGCUUCUGCUUACCUCCUGUUAGCUUUAUGCCUUGUCUGGCUGGUAAUCUCUUUAGGAUCCGUCGUUAAGUAAAUCCCUCGUAUGAACCUCAUGCUCCCUCCCCACAUUUAUUACCUGGUACACCUCUACCUUGAUAUAACGCAACCUGAUGUAACACGAAUUCGGAUAUAACGCGGUAAAGCAGUGCUCCGGGGGGGGCGGGGGGCUGCGUGCUCCGGUGGAUCAAAGCCAGUUUGAUAUAAUGCAGCUUCACCUAUAACACAGUAAGAUUUUUUGGCUCCUGAGGACAGCAUUAUAUCGAGGUAGAGGUGUAUGUCUUCUCUGGUGAAUCAAAAAUAGUUGACAAGAUAGAGCUGCUUAAACUAGUUGACUCUGUUUUCCUCCAUGGUAGCUAUCCUGGUCCAGCAGAUAGGGCAUGGCAUUUGGAUUCAGGAGACAUGAAUUCUGGAUAAAAGAUACUUUUCCAUAUAAUGCAUAAUUAGACUGUGAAACCUGCUGCCAUAGGAAGUUGAGGCCAGAAACUCAGCAAGAUUCAAAAAAGGGAUUGAACAUUUUAUAUGGCUAGCAAGAAUAUCCAGAGUUGCAAUUGUUAAUGCUGCCAAACCUGUCCUUUAAACCCACACUGCUCUCAUAUCCCACCUCACUGCUGGCACAACCUAGUAUUAGAGAAACAAGCUGAGGGAAGUAAUAUCUUUUUUUUUUUUAUUGGACCAACUUCUGUUGGUGAAAGAGAAGUUUUUGAUCUGCACAGAGCUGCUCUUUAGGUCUGGGAAAGGUGCCGAGGGCAAGUGUACACUACAAAGUUAAAUUGACCCAAGGUUACAUUGACUUACAGCCACCACAGUAAUUAAACUACUUUUGCAUGUCCACACUACGCUCCUUGUGUCAGCGGUGCACAUCUUCACCAGGAGCGCUUGCACCGAUUGAACUGUCAGUGUGGGGCAUUGUGGAAUAGCUUCUGAAAGGCAGAAACAAUCGAUGCAAGCAACUUGGUGUCUACACUGGCACUGCAUCGACUGAGGCCAUGUCCACACUUACAAGCUUUCAGCGGCACAGCUGUAAGGGCACUCGCGUAGCUGCAUUAUGCCAUUGGGAGAGAUCUCUCUUGUCAACAUAAUAAAAGCAGCUCAAUGAAUGGCGGUAACUAUGUCAGCGGGAGAGCGUCCAGAGGAGCCGUGAAAUUGACAAGCCAGCCAACAGCCGACGUAAGGAAUGCAGUGUCUACACAGACACUGUCGCCCUAACUACAUAGACAUAAGCCCCAUGCCUCUCUCGUGGAGGUGCAGUUAUGUCAGUGUAGUAGGGCUCUUACCUCAGUGGGAGCAAGGCUGUAGUGUAGACACGGACAUAGUUAGGUCGAGAUAAGCUGCCUUAGGCCUUGUCUGCCUUUUGCCAACAAAAAUUGUGUAGCUUUUGUUGACAAAACAGUGGAGGUGUACACACUACAAUGCUACUUUUGCUGACAAAACCCUCCUGUUUUGUCAACAAAAUAAAACCACCUUGACGAGGCAUAGAGCUUUUUGCGGCAAAGUUUUAAUGACAGCGUCAGUGUAGACAUCACAUUUUGGUUUUGUUUGCUGUAAAUGGCCUCCAGGAGGUGUCCCACAAUGCCUAUCCUGACUUCUCUGGUCAGUAAUUCGAACUCCACUGCCCUGCAGCCAGGUACGCAAACAUCCCCCUUUUAAGGCCUAGGAAUUUUUGAAAUUCUACUUCCUGUUUGCUCAGUGUGGAGAGCUCACUUCGCAUCUUCCCAGCUGACCAAGGCGGCUGCAAGUAGCAAACGCUCUCCCACUUGGACCAUAGCAGAGCUGUUGGAUCCCCUGUGUAUAUAGGGAGAGGAAGCUGUCCUGUCCUAGCUGCAGUCCAGCCGUAGGAACUUGGAUACCUACGGGGAGAUUUCUUGUGGUGUGUGUGAUAAGGGCUACGAUCAGGACACUGCAGUGCAGAGGGAAGGUAAAGGAGCUAAGGCAGGCAUACAAGAAGGCAAGGGAGGCAAACUGUCGCUCCGGUGCUGUGCCGAAGACCUGCUGCUUCUCUAAGGAGCCGAACACCAUCCUUGACCACAACCCCACCGCCAGUAGUCCCCUGGGUACCUUGGCAGGGCUGGAGGCAGCAGACAGUAGACCUAACCCCAAGGACGAAGUCAUGGAUGAGGAGGUGGAGUUGUAGGACAAUGUGGAGCCCACAGCUGUUUGUCAGGUGGCGCGGCAAGUCAGGAACUCUUCUCCACUUCGGAAGUGUCUAGCCAGUCCCAGCAGUCCCUUUCCAGCGAGUAAGAAGGAGAGGAGCCCCCGAUGUGGCCUUCAGGGGGAGCACCUCUGGCAGAUAAGGAAGCAACCAAGGCAUAGCAAGGAAGACCUGUUCCGAAAGGUGCUCCAAUCCUCUGAGGCAGAAAGAAUGAGGCAUACGUUCAAAAGGCCCAUGAGCAGAUGAUAAGUCAUGGAAGAGCAAACAGAGAUGCUGAAGUCCCUAAUCACACUGCAGUCAGAACAGAUGCAUGCUCUCCCCCAUGCAGCCAAUACAGAACUGUCUUCCAUGCCCUCCCCAAACUCCUCCCAUACAUUUCUUUCAACUUUUCAGAACAUCUCGGUAUCCUGUUCACUCCACCUCUUCAGACAGCUUCCAAAAUGGUAGUUGGACUUAUGCCCAGCUCUGAGAGCUUACCUUGUCCUUCACUGAUAUCUCCCUUCCCACCAAGCCUUUUGUGUGUGUUAAUUGGUGUUUAAUAAAAACACACUCUGAAAGAUAA